rnacentral:piRNA from 1 species
UCUUGGUCUGGGCAAAGCGAUCGACGCACACGUU